CACAUGCAAGUCGAGGGGCAGCGGGAUUGAAGCUUGCUUCAAUUGCCGGCGACCGGCGCACGGGUGAGUAACGCGUAUCCAACCUUCCGUACACUCAGGGAUAGCCUUUCGAAAGAAAGAUUAGUACCUGAUGGUAUGAUGAGAUUGCAUGAUAGCAUCAUUAAAGAUUUAUCGGUGUACGAUGGGGAUGCGUUCCAUUAGGUAGUAGGCGGGGUAACGGCCCACCUAGCCAACGAUGGAUAGGGGUUCUGAGAGGAAGGUCCCCCACAUUGGAACUGAGACACGGUCCAAACUCCUACGGGAGGCAGCAGUGAGGAAUAUUGGUCAAUGGACGAGAGUCUGAACCAGCCAAGUAGCGUGAAGGAUGAAGGUCUUACGGAUUGUAAACUUCUUUUAUAAGGGAAUAAAACCUCCCACGUGUGGGAGCUUGUAUGUACCUUAUGAAUAAGCAUCGGCUAACUCCGUGCCAGCAGCCGCGGUAAUACGGAGGAUGCGAGCGUUAUCCGGAUUUAUUGGGUUUAAAGGGAGCGCAGACGGGUCGUUAAGUCAGCUGUGAAAGUUUGGGGCUCAACCUUAAAAUUGCAGUUGAUACUGGCGUCCUUGAGUGCGGUUGAGGUGUGCGGAAUUCGUGGUGUAGCGGUGAAAUGCUUAGAUAUCACGAAGAACUCCGAUUGCGAAGGCAGUACACUAAGCCGUAACUGACGUUCAUGCUCGAAAGUGUGGGUAUCAAACAGGAUUAGAUACCCUGGUAGUCCACACGGUAAACGAUGGAUACUCGCUGUUGGCGAUAUACGGUCAGCGGCUUAGCGAAAGCGUUAAGUAUCCCACCUGGGGAGUACGCCGGCAACGGUGAAACUCAAAGGAAUUGACGGGGGCCCGCACAAGCGGA
rnacentral:rRNA from 1 species